GCCAAGAUGUCAGUCCCAGGGUACUAAGCUUUCACUAAUUUUUGUAUUUCAGCAAGUGAAUUCAGUGAAAAGUGUCCGAAUUGAGAACAAGCAUGCUCGCUAAGACAAAAAGUGACGGAUUUUUGUUCGUAUUGGCAUGGACAGAUGGAGCGAGGCAAAAAAGAGGGGGGCGUAACUCAUUGUAACUGCCAUGGUUUGGUACUUGCCAGGAUCUGGCGCCUGCAUUGAUUGAGGAACUCGCAUGUCCUUAGGUUACUGGUGCAAAGACUGUCUCCACUCUAGCUUCAGCAAAAAGGGUGAUUACAAUUACGAUUUAUCUAUCCAGCGAUUGAGGGACAACUCCAAGACCAUCCCGAUGCUCCGGACAGCCGCUCGCCGGGAGGAGAUCUUUCUGCGCAACACCCGACCAAUAGUAGCACCAACGGGACAUACGAAAUUUCAAGAAGAACACCAUGAUAAAGUUGACAGAAACGCCCACGCUAUACUCGCGAAGUUCGGGGGAUCAGAAAAAAUGCCAGUUAAUGUACCAGGGGAUGGCAGCUGUUUAUUUCAUUCCGUAUCGGUUUCGCUCAGCGGCAGUAUACGGUCGAAGCAGUUACAUACGUGUACGAACCACGAUUGAGAUGGUGAACAACAAGAAGUAGUAUAUGUCACUGCAUGACGAUGACAGUUUGGUUGUCUGAACAACAAAAAUCACAUGAUCAUGCUGAAUGGUCUCGUCUGGUAUUUCUAUCUCAUCAGUGACUUCUUUCAUGUUGAUCCGUAAUUGACUGAAGACCACUGCGACUGCUGAUUUGUCGAAGAUUCGGUACCAUUCAAUUAAGAAUUUUACGAGUUAAUGAGCUUAACUUGAAGACAGUCUGCAAACAAUUUGAAGACGAAAUAUAUGGGAUCUGUACAAAUGUGCCCGAGCAUCUGGAUUGGGUGACUUGCUACCCGCUAAUCAGAUUCCAGCGGUUGACAAAAAGACGUCAAGGACAUCAGACGGAGUCGAUGAUGAUAAGACAGUUCGAAACAGAUGAGAAUCUCCGUGAUUUUGAAGAUUCAGCUGAAUCAAGUUCAUCUGAUUUACUAAACAGUCUUACUCAUAAUGAUUCAUGGUCAUCGAUAGUCAAUCAUACAUACAGAGAGGAGCCAUUAGAAAAGAUGGACAGUGAAGAAAUUGACAUGCUUAAACCUGUGAUAUGAAAACAGUGCUGUAAACAACUUUGUUUUUGCUGCCCUCAAUGUUUGUGAAUGCACCAUUUUGACCUUUUGCUUUCUGUGGCUAACGAUUUGGACUUAAUGAUAUUAGUUUUAGAUUCAGUUUGAAAUUUCGAUAUUUGAUUAAUUGGUAGCAAGUCUGUGUUUUAUAAAUGAACAGUAAAUCAUUUGCUUCCGGGAUUCUUGAGAAUAAGAUUGACCGGGCAUUACGCUCGAGUUAAAUACAUUGUAAAUAGGGCCUGAUUGGAUCGGUCAGAUUCAGGAAGUUGUGUUGGAUUGAAGAAUUUGUGUUCUUAUGGGUGUGGGUGGAGAGAAACUGUAUAUUGUCAUAGUAAUGAAAGACAUACUCUAUCAAUUGUAUUGCUAGGCUUUGCGGCACAUCGGACUUUCCUUCUGCUGCCUCUUGUGUAGGCGGAUAACUUCCGUUUUAAGAAAUAAGUAAUUUGCUGCAGUCUUUACCGAUGGACAGUUGUACGAUUGUAACCCAUUCCUGAAUAGAACAGGGCCUGGUCUCUCCAAAUCUCCCCCACUCCUACCCAUGUUUAGCAUCAAAUAGGAAUCUUGGUUUGAAGUAGUUAGUGUAAAGGUAGAUUCUGAAGUGUAAGGAUCUCACUUACAAGUGAUAACCUCAAAUAUUGUGAACUUUGAUCAUCAUGAAGCUUAAUACAAUCAAAUA